rnacentral:rRNA from 1 species
AGUGAACGCUGGCGGUAGGCCUAACACAUGCAGGUCGAACGGCAGCACAGUAAGAGCUUGCUCUUACGGGUGGCGAGUGGCGGACGGGUGAGGAAUACAUCGGAAUCUACUUUUUCGUGGGGGAUAACGUAGGGAAACUUACGCUAAUACCGCAUACGACCUACGGGUGAAAGCAGGGGAUCUUCGGACCUUGCGCGAUUGAAUGAGCCGAUGUCGGAUUAGCUAGUUGGCGGGGUAAAGGCCCACCAAGGCGACGAUCCGUAGCUGGUCUGAGAGGAUGAUCAGCCACACUGGAACUGAGACACGGUCCAGACUCCUACGGGAGGCAGCAGUGGGGAAUAUUGGACAAUGGGCGCAAGCCUGAUCCAGCCAUACCGCGUAGGUGAAGAAGGCCUUCGGGUUGUAAAGCCCUUUUGUUGGGAAAGAAAAGCAGCAGGUUAAUACCCCGCUGUUCUGACGGUACCCAAAGAAUAAGCACCGGCUAACUUCGUG